rnacentral:tRNA from 1 species
AAGAAAAGAAGUCCAGGUUUAAGCUGCUAACUUUUAAUCUUAGCGGUUAAACUCCGUUAUUUUCUUU